rnacentral:snoRNA from 1 species
CCGGGGAGUCAAAGUGGCAUAUUUAUGAAUAAUUCUCUGAUUUGUGUCUCAAAUGCUCCCAUAUAAAUCUAAAUGCGAACGGCAUCCUGUUUAAUCCCUUAUAUUAUAACAGAUGACUUGUGUUGGUGUACAGUA